rnacentral:rRNA from 1 species
UCGCUCUUUGUAUAUUAAAAAUAAAGAGUCGUGCCUGCCCAGUGAUUAAUUUUUUAACGGCCGCAGUACCCUGACUGUGCAAAGGUAGCAUAAUCAUUUUGCCUUUUAAUUGGAGGCUAGAAUGAAUGGCUUGAUGAAGAUUUAACUGUCUCUAUUUUAUUAACUAAAAAUUAAUUUUUAAGUGAAAAAGCUUUAAUAAAUUUAAAAGACGAAAAGACCCUAUCGAGCUUAAAAUUAUGUUUAAAUUAUUAUUUUAGAAUAAUUAACUUUAAAUUAAAUUUUUUGUUGGGGCGACAAAAGAACAUAAUUAGCUUCUUUUUAUUUAAUUUGUAUAUUAACAAGUAGACCCGUUUAUAAAUAACGAUUAAUAGAAAAGUUACCGUAGGGAUAACAGCGUAAUUUUUCUGGAGAGUUCUUAUCGAUAGAAAAGUUUGCGACCUCGAUGUUGGAUUAGAAUUCCUUUUAGGUGUAGCUGNUAAUAAGGAGGUC